rnacentral:rRNA from 1 species
CCUACGGGCGGCAGCAGUAGGGAAUAUUGCUCAAUGGGGGAAACCCUGAAGCAGCAAAGCCGCGUGGAGGAUGAAGGUUUUCGGGUUGUAAACUCCUUUUGUUAGAGGAGUUAAUUACGGUAUCUAACGAAUAAGCACCGGCUAACUCCGUGCCAGCAGCCGCGGUAAUACGGAGGGUGCCAGCGUUAGUCGGAAUCUCUGGGCGUAAAGCGCGCGUAGUGGGGAUAGUAAGUCAGAUGUGAAAGCCUACGGCUUAACCGUAAAAUUGAAAUUGAAACGGUGAGUCUAGAGUACAGGAGAGGUAGGUGGAAUUCGUGGUGUAGGGGUAAAAUGCGUAGAGAUCAAGAGGAAUACUGAUUGCGAAGGCGACCUACUAGAAUACAACUGACGCUGAUGCUCGAAAGCGUGGGGAGCAAACAGGAUUAGAUACCCGUGUAGUC